rnacentral:rRNA from 1 species
GAUGAACGCUGGCGGCGUGCCUAAUACAUGCAAGUCGUGCGAACAGACGAGGAGCUUGCUCCUCUGACGUUAGCGGCGGACGGGUGAGUAACACGUGGAUAACCUACCUAUAAGACUGGGAUAACUUCGGGAAACCGGAGCUAAUACCGGAUAAUAUAUUGAACCGCAUGGUUCAAUAGUGAAAGACGGUUUUGCUGUCACUUAUAGAUGGAUCCGCGCCGCAUUAGCUAGUUGGUAAGGUAACGGCUUACCAAGGCAACGAUGCGUAGCCGACCUGAGAGGGGGAUAGGCCACACGGGAACUGAGACACGGUCCAGACUCCUACGGGAGGCAGCAGUAGGGAAUCUUCCGCAAUGGGCGAAAGCCUGACGGAGCAACGCCGCGUGAGUGAUGAAGGUCUUCGGAGCGUAAAACUCUGUUAUUAGGGAAGAACAAAUGUGUAAGUAACUAUGCACGUCUUGACGGUACCUAAUCAGAAAGCCACGGCUAACUACGUG